rnacentral:rRNA from 1 species
AUUGAACGCUGGCGGCAUGCCUUACACAUGCAAGUCGAACGGCAGCACGGGAGCAAUCCUGGUGGCGAGUGGCGAACGGGUGAGUAAUAUAUCGGAACGUGCCCAGUCGUGGGGAUAACGUAGCGAAAGCUACGCUAAUACCGCAUACGAUCUAUGGAUGAAAGCGGGGGAUCGCAAGACCUCGCGCGAUUGGAGCGGCCGAUAUCAGAUUAGGUAGUUGGUGAGGUAAAGGCUCACCAAGCCGACGAUCUGUAGCUGGUCUGAGAGGACGACCAGCCANACUGGGACUGAGACACGGGCCCAGUACCUCCUACGGGAGCAGCAGUGGGAACUUUUGGACAAUGGCGC